GGGCCCCGCACAAGCAGCGGAGCGUGUGGUUUAAUUCGAUGCUACACGAAGAACCUUACCAGGGUUUGACAUACAAGUAGUAGGGAAGGAAACUGGACCGACCCUUCGGGGAGCUUGAACAGGUGCUGCAUGGCUGUCGUCAGCUCGUGUCGUGAGAUGUUCGGUUAAGUCCGCUAACGAGCGCAACCCUCGCUGUGUGUUACAAGUGUCACACGGAACUGCCGGUCAUAAACCGGAGGAAGUGGGGAUGACGUCAAGUCAGCAUGGCCUUUAUAUCCUGGGCUACACACACGCUACAAUGGGAAGGGACAAUAGGUUGCGAAGCCGCGAGGCGGAGCCAAUCCAGCAAAACUUCCCUCAGUUCAGAUUGCAGGCUGCAACUCGCCUGCAUGAAGUUGGAGUUGCUAGUAAACGCAGGUCAGCCAUACUGCGUUGAAUACGUUCCCGGGGCUU
rnacentral:rRNA from 1 species